GACGAACGCUGGCGGCGUGCCUAAUACAUGCAAGUUGAGCGCUGAAGGUUGGUACUUGUACCAACUGGAUGAGCAGCGAACGGGUGAGUAACGCGUGGGGAAUCUGCCUUUGAGCGGGGGACAACAUUUGGAAACGAAUGCUAAUACCGCAUAAAAACUUUAAACACAAGUUUUAAGUUUGAAAGAUGCAAUUGCAUCACUCAAAGAUGAUCCCGCGUUGUAUUAGCUAGUUGGUGAGGUAAAGGCUCACCAAGGCGAUGAUACAUAGCCGACCUGAGAGGGUGAUGGGCCACAUUGGGACUGAGACACGGCCCAAACUCAUACGGGAGGCAGCAGUAGGGAAUCUUCGGCAAUGGACGAAAGUCUGACCGAGCAACGCCGCGUGAGUGAAGAAGGUUUUCGGAUCGUAAAACUCUGUUGGUAGAGAAGAACGUUGGUGAGAGUGGAAAGCUCAUCAGGUGACGGUAACUACCCAGAAAGGGACGGCUAACUACGUG
rnacentral:rRNA from 1 species